rnacentral:pre_miRNA from 1 species
GCGGCAUCAUCAGGAUUCACACCGGGUAAACACCGUUGGGUGGGUGCAGUUACCCAUGCACAUAUAUGCAGGUCUGGCUCUAUCUGUUGCUUGCGUGAGAAUCCUGAUGAUGCUGCAC